GACAGAGGGUGCAAACGUUGUUCGGAAUUACUGGGCGUAAAGCGCGUGUAGGCAGCUUCGCAAGUCGGGUGUGAAAGCCCUGGGCUCAACCUAGGAAGUGCACUCGAAACUGCGGAGCUUGAGUCUCGGAGAGGAUCGCGGAAUUCUCGGUGUAGAGGUGAAAUUCGUAGAUAUCGAGAGGAACACCGGUGGCGAAGGCGGCGAGCUGGCCUGUACCUGACGCUGAGGCGCGACAGCGUGGGGAGCAAACAGG
rnacentral:rRNA from 1 species